rnacentral:rRNA from 1 species
UACGAAGGGGGGCUAGCGUUGUUCGGAAUCACUGGGCUUAAAGCGUGCGUAGGUGGAUUGGUAAGUAAGGAGUGAAAUCCCAGGGCUUAACCCUGGAACUGCUCUUUAGACUGCCUGUCUGGAAUUCGGAAGAGGUUGGUGGAACUCCCAGUGUAGAGGUGAAAAUUCGCAGAUAUUGGGAAGAACACCGGUGGCGAAGGCGACCAACUGGUCCGACAUUGACACUGAGGCACGAAAGCGUGGGUAGCAAACAGG